rnacentral:rRNA from 1 species
GGACUACUAGGGUUUCUAAUCCCGUUUGCUCCCCUAGCUUUCGCGCCUCAGCGUCAGAAGAUGUCCAGUGCGUCGCUUUCGCCUCCGGCGUUCCUUCCAAUAUCAACGCAUUUCACCGCUCCACUGGAAGUUCCACACACCCCUACAUCCCUCCAGACCGACAGUAUCGAAGGCACUUCUACAGUUAAGCUGCAGGAUUUCACCCCCGACUUGUCGGACCGCCUACGCGCCCUUUAAGCCCAGUGAUUCCGAACAACGUUAGGACAGUUCGUCUUACCGCGGCGGCUGGCAC